ensembl:lncRNA
GAUCCUUUGCAGGGGUCCAUUGAAAAGAAAUGACAAAAUAUAUUAGAACAUCAAAACCCGGGCACAUUUGUUUGACUGCAGCUAUACCACGUUCUUUAAAAGCUAUUAGAGGUUUCUAAGUUCCCUAUUUAUCUUCCAGUUUCAUUGCAUUAUGAAAGAUGAUGGUGCAACUCCCUGAUGAUCUUCAGCAACCAUAUGGAAACCCACCAAUGGGAAAUAAUGGAAUAGUGAAAACCCAUUAAAGUUACCUUGGAGGACAAAGGUUCCACUUGAAAGACUAUUUGUUCACUUGAUGCGCCCCACCAGACAUGAUGGAGCACAUCUGGACUAUCCCAAGGGACUACCCCAAAAUAAGAAGUAAC